CAUGAAGAAGGCCACGAUGAUGAUGUAGAUAAUGAAGAAGAUGGAGAUCUCCACACGGUAGUUGUAGACAGGACCAACGUUCUCUCCGUUUGAGUCGAUAGCUUUGUACAGCAACCUGGAGGACGAGAAAACUGGUGGGGCAGAUAUCACCACCAUCCCCCUUUCAUCGAUAGUCAGAGAGGCAUCCGAGUGCCAAGGCCACGAGGUCACAAUCCUCAGCAGCAGAGUCUAGAGCUGGGCUCAGGUCCUGAAGCUCCAAGCCCUGGGCUGGUUCACAUCCUGUCGGCCACCCCAGUGGUUAACUGAAGCACAGCGUCCCAAACCUGAUGUUACCACAGUGUCUUGUCAGAGUGAGCAAGUGCUAUUCAACUCUCCACAGAGUUGAACAUCUAGGAACAUCUGUCAUGGCCACUGCAAGAGCCCAGGCAGCCAGCAAGAACCAGCCUGGGCACUCACCUCCUGAAGCUCCUCUGGGCAAGGGACAUGUGAAGAAAGGCAGCAGAAUGCCAGGGGUUCCCCCUUGCCCUUUGUCUGCUUCCUUCUUUAUGUUCUGGGAUCCUUGCAACUGCCGGUGGCUGUCACACACUAGUGCUCAUUCUGUGUCAUAAGGAGUGAGUGAGUGCAUGACCGUUUGGAUGCUGUCAAAUCCUCUUUAAGAACCAACAGAAGUUUAUACAGCAAAUGCCUCUUAGGGACCCCGUAACCACACCCAGAGAUGCUGUCCAGGCAUUUACAUCCGGGAGCCACAAGUAAGGCGCCGAUGUUUAACACCUGCCUGUUCAGAUGGAGGAGCCAUGAUGGGUAAGAAAUGAUGACAAGUUACCCAGCGUUAGUCACAGGCAAACGUGCUAGCUGUAAAGAACAAAAGUAGAACCUGCUCCAGGAAGGAAGACAGCAUGGAGUCCCCAAGGAGCGAACGGAGACCUUAUGGGAGACUGGAUAUUCCUUAUACUCACGCGGGCCAGCCCUCAAAAGUCGAGACCGUGAAGAGCGCCAUCAUAGCCGAAAGGACAUUGUCGAAAUUGAAAUCACUGUUUUGCCAGAUCCUCUCACGGACCACGGGACUGUCGACAUCGCCGUCCUUAUAAAGGAUGAAAAGCCCCCUGUAGAGGAAAGGCGUUAGACAAUCGUCUUGGCGUCACACAUAACCCAUGGCCAUAUCAUAUAACCCAAACUGAUACAUAUGGGGCAGGCAGCUAGACCCCAGCCAGUUGUAAACACUCUAAAGGUCAAGGACAUAGAUUUUGUGUAGACUUAAGCUCUGGGCAAUGUAUGCACUGGCUGUGAAAAUCCCAUCUUAAGUUAUGAGAUGUGAACACUUCUUGCUGUUUCUACCGUUGGCUGUUAAGAACAGAAACAUGCCAAAAUGUGGGCAAGGAUCAAAACAGGACCAAGGAGCAGAGUGCCAAGUCUUCUAGAAGAAGGAAACCCAAUCCUGAGCCCUGGGAAGUGAGCUGCAAGUCUGGCUUGGGAGAGUACCAUUCACAUUCCUCAGAUAUUGGUGGCGCUCGCUCACUGCCAUUUCAUGGCUCCUUACCCCAGUCUAUAGGCUCCUUACUCCGUCUACAUUCUUUUGGGAUGAUAAAAAUGUUUCAAACCUCGAGAGAGGCCCUGACUAGAGGACAACGUGACCACGCUGAACUGUGUCCCGAAUGCAAGUGAUUUCAUGUUCCUUGAGUUUUUGCCUGGACUUGAAGAUAUAAACGAACAACCAAAGACCAAGCGCCAUCCUGCCAGGCAUGAGCUGAGUGGACAGUCCUCGACGGAAACCUCUGAAAUGCUAAACUGACUGAGUCCAAGCCGCUAGGCUGCUCUUGGGAUACCCACCUGCACUCCUCGGGGUUACUUUUGGCCUCAUCUGUGCAACGGUAGAACUUCCCCUAGACGCAAAGCAGACGGAGAGUCAAUAUGGGCUCUUCCAAUGGAACCCAACUCUAGCCCUGGCUGAGACGCGCGCCUACCUUGAACAGCUGGACCCCAAUGCAAGCAAACAUGAACUGGAGCAGGGUCGUGACGAUCAUGAUGUUGCCGAUGGUUCGGAUGGCCACAAAGACACACUGGACCACGUGCUGGGGCAGGACCAGAGAGAGGGCGAGUUAACCCUAGGCCAGGGCUUCUGUGUUCAGGUACUCAGUGUAUGUGUGUACAUGUGCACACGUGAAUGUGGUGGCCAGAGGACAACACACAGGAGACGGUCCUCUCUUGCACACUGGUCCCAGAUAUUGGACUCGGAUUAUCAGGCUUAGCAGCAAGCACCUUGACCCCACUGAGCUGUUCUACUGGCCCCAAAACACCUCUCUUGGGCUUUCUCCAAAGAAGUCGGUCUAAUUGAAGGAAACACCUCCUACACAUAGGCUCGUAGGAUCCCAAUCCCAGAAAGACUUUGCAGCAGUGUAAACCCUCUAGCCUGGUGUAUAAUCCACACGGGAGCAUUUACGACUUAAACACAAAAGGCUAUUGAGAAAGAACUACCAAAUACUGUAAUUAUAGUAACUAAUAUCUCCAAUUAACAAAGACACAAAAGCAAUCUCUGCAGUGUGUGUAUGUGUAGCCAUACGUUAUGUGGGCACGUGCUCCCACGUGCAUGACCGUUCUUUGAGGAGAGCAGGAGAGGCCAUUGCGUGUCCUGCUGUCACCCUUGACUUUAUACUCUUAAGAUGGGGUCUCCCUAAACUCAGAGCAAGGGCAGCCACCAGGAAGCUCCUUCCUGUCUCAGUCACCCCACACACAGUGCUGGGGUUUCCGGUGUGUGAGAACACGCCUGGCUUUUUACACAGGGUCUGGGAUUUGACUCUGGUCCUAACGCUUGUGCAAAUGUUCUUACCUGCUGAGCUGUCUUUCAUCUUUUGAAUGACAGUACUUGGCAGAUGCAGCUUUUUAAAUCUUUUUCCCCCCACUCCGAAACCCACCAGCCCUCACCUCACCUCCAGACGAGAACAGUUAGUAACUACAGCCAUCUCCAACCCAAGCCAGCCCCACUGAACAGAGAGGGUCCAUACCUUAAGUCCUUUUGCUCUGUUGAUUGCUCUGAGAGGCCUCAAGACCCUUAAGACCCUCAGAAUCUUCACAACCGAGAUGGCACUGGAUCUGAGGAGGGACAGAGUGAGAAAGCAAGCGAGUGGUCCAGAGUCCAGUGGCUUCACAGUGCCUGGCUUACAGUUCUCUCCAGGUUCCUAUUGCUAAGGGACGUGUGUGCAUGUGUGCACACAUGGGACAGCUCUAGAGCACUGAAGCUCACGGGCCAGCAGAAAGUGAAGUGGGGACACAGAAGAUGCAAACACAGGCACAGGGAAAGGAAGGGAUCCCAAUAGACCGACAAAGUCAAGCUUUUCCUGCAGUGAAAGAAAACUGCCACCCCAAGAGGAUACUCAAAGUCUUGGACCAGGCCUGAGAAGAACCCUAUUCGUCCCUCCCUCCCUCCCUCCCUCCCUCCCGCUCAGGUUGCCUUUCAUCUGCUAUAGAAAGCUAGUCCUGCAGAGAAUUGUAAGAUGUCAUACAGGUGAAGACAGGUACAAGAUAGAACAAAGCCUAUCAUUGGAUGAGAAGGAAGGAGAAAAAUCUGAGGAGGAGACUGGAACAGAAGGAGACAGAAAGAGGAAGCAGUGGAGAGGGCAUGGAGGCUGAUUCCACUCUGUAUUGACAGGGUUUAAAACCAACCGAGCCAAAACCUGGGCUCGUCCCAAACUCCUGACAGAAGCGUGACUCCAUUAAUGGCUGCACAGAAGGAGGGCAAAUGCACACCAGCAGGCUGGGUGACUAUGUCACUUUCUUCAGCAAAGGUGGAAAGAUGCAGCCAAUCGCAGGCACAUUUGUAAAGAGACCAGUUCAGAGUUUAUUCAAACAAGGACAGGACUCUGGUACGUCCAAACAGCCUGGGUAGGGCUCAUGACUAUGCUUUUGAGCGCCUUCGCUGCCUCACACCUGAGCUUACCUAUACGGUGCUGGCCUGGCCAUCUUAAGGCCACAGAGCACGCAGUGUUUUCAUUAUACCUUCUCAGUGCGGGCUCGAGGUGCCACCUGGCUCCAGCACUCCUGGUCCACUUUCUUCCUUAACUUGGCUGCUCCAGUGUUCAUAUUUCUCCAUUCCCAUCUCUCCCGAGCCUGGCUACUCUACAAGCAUUAAGUACAGCAAGGAGGCUGUAGGGCGAUGUUACAACCAAGCUAGCCUUGUUCUCACUAAACACCUUGUUUGGCAGGAGCACACAGAGUGGGUGCUCUAGUGAGGUUUCUGCUGAUGACGGGAAGACUUCAAUAAGGAAGUUCUCUGAGGGGAAAAUAGUAUUAAAUAACCCGGGAUUGUAUUUGCCCCAAGGCCCAUCAGUGAGUAACAGUUUGAAAAGGCAGACAUUAAAGCUAACUGGACUAAUGGCUCUCUGGAACAUGUUCCUUAAUUGAGCUUGAGGGAGGGGCAGCAAGUGAACCUGGAGCAGGGACUCUGUCCAUUUUGUGCCAGUUUUUACCACAGGGCCAUGAGCCUUGGCCACUGUUCUGUUAUGCCUGGUUGUAGAGGGAAAUAAAAUCAAACCCACUGGCCUACGUUUAGGCAAGAAAACCCAAACUUUUAUAAGAUUUGAAACAGAGUUGGACAUAUUUGGGGAGGGUGGUUUUGAACUCAUUAUCAACAUCAGUGACACAGAGGGGCCACUCCCUCUCCUCCUUAAUCGAGGUUUUGUCGGUGGAAGCUUUUGUGAGGAGCCCAAGUCCCUAGCUGCCCAGCGUAAAGUGUUGUUUUUUUUUUUUUUAGAUGCACACAUAUAAACCUCAAAAUACUUUAAAGUCAACUGUAGCAAAACCCCUUCGCUUCCCACUUCUUCCCACGAGGAGUUGGCUGUAAGAAUCCUAUCAGAAGGCCCAACUACUGGAGGCUCCUAGACCUCUGCCAUGUCUCCAGACCUCUGAGCAUCUAGGAAGGAACUUCUCCAUGGAGUGCUCACAACUGGGACAUAGCACACACAGGUAGGCCAUGCAUGGGCAGUACAUACAGGUACAGCUUUGUCUGUGCCAAUGUAAGCCCAUUCCAUUGAAAGAGAUACAUAACAUCCCCACACAAGUAGACCCAGUGUUUCUUGCAAGACUCAUUGCAAGAGAGUAGUAAGUUAUUCUUCAAGGACACAGAAACCACAGUGUAGUCCCAGGAGCGAGGAGACAGUGGCUCCUGUCACCUCAUAGGUGCUCUUCAUCUCGCUCUGAUGUCAGGAAGGGCAGAAGGACCUUCACACAAGGGACUAUAUCCACUAUUAGCGAACCAAUUUCAGAGGAUUUUUUUUUUUAAAGAACAAAGUGUAAUUCCAACCAGGAGGUGAAACCCACGUGGCUCCUACAUGCAACUCAAAGUUAACGAAAAACCUCGAAAACACGUUGGAAUGGUCACAGAGGAAAAAAAAAAUCCUACAGUUCAAAAAAGGUCAGCUUGGUCACAGAAGGGGAAAAAAACAGCUCAAAGCACUUCACGCAUCUCUCCUGUGCUUCGAGCACGGGAGGGGCCUCGGUCAGAGGGCUGGCCGGCCUGUUACCUUUAAAAUGAUCUCAAAAGCAAAAGUACCCGUGAAGACGUAGUCCGCAUAACCUAGUAUCUGGAAGGAAAGCACAGAGCACAACCAUUACUGCUGUGGCCGAAUAUCGAAGAGGGUCAAGGAGAGUGUGUUACCUUUAACAGGAUUUCAACCGUAAAGAUGGCUGUGAAAGCAUAGUCAAAGUAGCCCAGUAUCUGUAAGGACAACAUGCGGCAGUCAGAACAACACACAGAUGAGUUGUGGCAGAUCCUUGCCCAAGAGCAGAACCCCCAACUUGUGUCCAGAGGCCCUUCUCCCAGGCAGGACAACCCUGCUGCUCCCAUGGGAAGGUUGAGAUCUCAAGAGGACCCAUUUCGCCCACCCAAAGCUCAUCUUGGUGACCACCUAGGAAUGUUGGGAAUUUCGGCUUCCCAGAUUCCUAUCAGGGCCCAAAGGGACUUAUUGCUGGCUGUUAAUAACCUUCCCUCUGCGUGGGCUACCAGCGGGUUGUGGCCCCUGAUAAAUGAGACUCACACACAUUCUGCAGCUUUGAACUUGGAUAAAAUGAGCUGUGCUGGUAUUGGGAAGAAAUUCAGUUAGCGAUGUUAGUGACGGGGCUGAGGGUGCCAAUUGAGCACGAGGCCCCGGGGAUCCAGUCCCAGCACCAAAGGGCUGCCAUUUUUAAUUCUUAAAACAUAAGUAAAAAUGCUAAUGGCAUCAAAUGAAGUCAGAAGGUUUCCCAUGUUCCUGUGGGCAAUGCAAUCAUCACGUGAUCUCCCUAACCCACCCACAUACUCUGGGACGGCCCACCUAUGCCCAGUCUGUGUGCUUAGUAUCUUCCUCCUGCCGCACUCUACCUAACUCUGCUCUCUCUCAGGGUUGAUCCCUGCCUUUCUGGGUCCAUGCAAAGAACAUACUGACAUAGCAUCCCAGUUUUUAGCAUAGGCCUCUCUCUCGGCCUUCCUGAAAAUGUCGCCUAUUGUCUAUAAAGUCUUCUGAGCUCCUGAUGCAAGGUUCCUGAUUUCCUUCAGAGCCACAAAGAACUCAGAAUCAGGGCAGGUGUGCCAGGAACCGCAAAUCUGACCAAGGUUACUCGUAGUGUGCUGACGACCCUCUGACUCUCAACUGGAAAGAUAGCAGCUAAGACUGCCAUUACACAAGCCGAUCCUGGGUGCUGAUCUCAUGGAUAUGCUCUUCUCUGGUUUCGAAAGAACUGAAGAUAUCGAUGUUGGAAGGACUGCAGGGACCAUUUGGCGUAGGAUGCUAGGGCAGGGGCAUCUGCUCAGGCCUGAAAGCCAGUCACAGGCAAAGAAGCUGAAACUCAGUCACUGCUAAAAUGAAACACUGGAGUGUUCUAACAGUGGCACGCAUGUGAAAGGCAAGGAAAAACAAGGAAAUGAAUACGUGGGAAAGAGACGAUGACAAGAAGAGACGUAAAUUAGCUCCUCGUGGACACUGAACCUGGACUAGCUCCUGACCUGUGACAACAUGACUUGUCUCUAAUCACC